AUGCUGGAUCAUUACUGAUUGUAUCUGGGAAGGUUCCACAUCCAUAUGAAAUUUUAAGAAUUUUAUUUGUAUCUGCAUUGUUUCAUCUUUAAUUGACCUUUAAGGUUGAAUUGAUACUCCUUCUAUAUGACGUUUUGAACGUUCACUUUGAACUUACCUGCUCAACGGUCUAGGUUUAGUCUUCGUAUUUGCCAUUUAAGACGCACCCCUGAUGAAGUCUAGCUAAUAGACGAAACGCGUUGGGUUACCGUUUUAUCCUUGAUGUUAUCUCCGAAUAUCUAAUGAGGAGGAACAAGGUUACAGCAGAAAAUUGCCUAUAUUCUUCUACAUCCCAGUGUUGGAUCAAUAUAGGAGAUAAUACAUCUUAAUGCUUAUGUAAUAAUGAUGGACACAUAAUAUGCUAUUGUAUUUUUAAUACAUUUUUUAUGAAAGAACAGUCCAUGCUUUAGAUAUUGGAUCAAUAUUGUUUGUGAAACCUCUUGAGGACUAUCUUUAGUAUUAAGGGUUGCUUCAAUCCCUGGGCGCCA